UCUGCAUUAAGGUAACCUUGAGCCAUCCAUAGUGAAAUUAGUUCCUCUUUAUUCAUAUUGUAGUCUUUUGGAAAGACAGCACAAUAUGAGAAACACCGUUUUACCAUAGAAUUGGAGGGCAAAUCGUUAUAACUCAACAACAAAGGAGCUAAAAGACCUUGCCCAAUCUCUUCUACUUUCCACAUUUCACUCUUUAAAAUUCUUUGCCACUCAUUUACUGUAAUUUUAGAGCGCAAGAGAUUCCCUAUUACCUUUGCAGCAAGAGGCAGGCCUUUGCACUUCAGUGCAAUUUUUCGCCCAAUUGGUUCUAAUUUUUCACAAUCUUCGAAAGAGCGACUGGAAAAUGCCAACCGCUUGAACAACGACCAACAUUCCUCUUCAGCCAAUUGCUUAAUGAAGAUAAUAUUUGUUGAUCCCAUCAUACGUGCAACUGACUCAUUACGUGUGGUAACUAAAAUUUUACUUCCUUGGAGACCAUUCUUUAGACAAAGGAAGAAUGGUUCCCAUUUAUUUUAACUCCCAUCCCAUACAUCAUCUAAGACAAGAAAAAACUUUUUUCCUUCAAUUGAUCUAUGGAUAUGGCUCGUAAGAGAUUGGAAUUCGUUUAAACUAGGAGCUGACUCACCUAGACCUUCAAUGAUUGCUUUGACAACCCUAAUCUCCUCAAAAGUGUCUGAUACACACACCCAUAUAACUUUUUCAAAAUUUCUUUUCACCUCAUCAUUAUUAUAGGCUAGUUGUGCAAGAGUGGUUUUACCUAUACCCCCUAACCCAACUAGUGAGAUGACAUGAAGGCCUUUUUGUUGUUCACUACUUUCACACAACAACUUGCUUAAGAGCUCAUUUUUCUCAUCAACUCUACCGCAAACCUCUCCCUCAUCAAUCAAGGAGGUGGUUCGCACUCGCUCUGGUUUCUUAACAUUGUUGCUCACAUUCUCAACAAAUUUAAACGUAUCUUUUUGGGAGGCAAUAUCAUCUAGCUUUCCAUUGAUUUCCCUAAUCUUGACGGCAAUGUCAUGACGAAGACUAAGUUGUUUGAAACUACCAAAGCAGUUUGAUACAGCACAAAAGAAGGAGCGUACCUUCUUCUUAUGAGGAGCAAGAGCAAGAGCAUUGUCAUCAUCAACGCCCUCAAUCUGCAAUUUGAGCCUUGCAGUGGUCCACUCCUCCAACACGUCUUCCAUGUCGUAAGAUGCGUCUUUGAGCUGAUCCAGCCAAAAAGUAACAGCAUUGUCGCGCUGCAUUUGCCUUUUCUCUGCAUCUUCCAGCACAGCUCGAAUGGCUCGAAGAUUGCUGGUAAGCUUUUUCACUUCUUCUCGGACACCAGUCACAAGCCUCACGUGUUGUUUCACUUCAUCAGCCGCAACGGAGAUCAGCUGCUCCAGGAGAGAGGAAACGAUCGCAUCAACCAUUCUGACAAAGAAAACGAGAAUUUUGAUGAGUUAUUAGAUGUGCUUUUGUUGCGAAGAUAUGAAAGAAAAGGAGUUAUUGCGUUCUUUUAUACUGCAUAGAAAAAGCUUAUGCUUAUCCCCACCCCACACGUCAAUGAUUGUAGAAUGUUUAUUUUCCCUGAUUCUACUCCACUAGUUGUGAUGCGUAAUUAUAAAUAUUCUCAAGUUAUGUAUGAAAAUAGCACAAAUUUGGAUCUAGUAAUGAUUUUUAUGUACUUUUUCAUCAUCUUCUAAAAUACCAUCUCUGCAUGUGCACGAAAUAUGGAAUUGGGUGAAAAAAGUUAUGCUUAUCCCCACCCACACGUUAGUAAUUGUAGUAGCAUCUUUAAUUUCCAUGAUUCUACUCCACGGACGAACACAUUUUUUGUAGUAACAUCUUUAAAUUCCCACACGUUAGGAAUUUGGCACAUAUCUCAAACUCGUCGCAUCUUUAACGUAUGAAGUUGAUGAAUAAAUUCUUUUCUCAUGUCAAUUUAAAACUCCGAGAUUAUGUGCCAAAUUCCUAACGUGUGGGAAUUUUACCUCCUAAGUAAUCCGGCCCACUACCAAGUGCCAACUUUUUCUCUGUCGAGUUAAUGAUGUUGUUUUGUUUUCCUUGUUUUAAUUAAUGUUGCCGAGAGAAACAGAUCGAUGCAAAUGGCUAGCCAGGUUUUGCAGAAACCGUGAAUGGUCUUGCAUGUGACAUAAAGCUUAAUCAUGUAUAUAUGUGUGUUGACACUUGCCAGUUCAUUUUUGUUAUAAAGAUUAUUGAUACUCAUAAAUGUACUACUUACAAAUCAUAAAUUUUGAGUUUGACACUUUAGUUUCAUUUUGUAAUCCCUACACUCUUUAAAUAUUUGUAACAAUAUAUUUCAAACUUUAACUCAGACGUAAUGAAUGAAGGGGGAUCCUCUUCUUAUAUAAAUUUUUAUUUUUUAACGUUCAAGUUACAUUUGAUUACGUGUACUUAUUAUCUAGUUUUGACUAUCUAAUUACAUUUGAUUACGUGUACUUAUUAUAUAAUUUUUUUUUGAAAUGAUGGAUCUGGUGAGAUUUUUUACAUCUUGGAUCAGUAGGUCAAGAACAGGCAGGGCAGGGCCUUCUCUGAAGUCAAUCUUGUGAGCAACACCAGCUUUUUGGAUAAUUGGCAGCCCCAAUUCAUAAUUUUCUCUAUUGAUGUCCAUGGCCAAAAUCUGCAACCGAAGCUUAUUCUACUCUUAUUAAUCGAGAGAUAAUUUUACCUCUAACUAAUUUAAUUGGGAGGAAAAUCGAGAGAGAUAUCCACUUUGUCCUUAUUAAUUGAGAGAUAAUUUUACCCUUACCCAAUUUAAUUGGAAAGAAAAUCGAAUUCCAACAAUAACUAGGACUCGAAUCCAUGCACUUAAGCUAACUUUAUGCUUUUGGACGCAUGGUUAUAAUGUUCUUUAUUUAAAUCCUAACAAAUGGUGGGACUUGAACUUGUGCCUACAAACAUUGAGUGCUUAGGGGCUGCAAAAUUUCAUAACUUAAUUUUAGUUGAUGUGGCAUGUGCCCUAUCACAUCAAUGUAGAUAAUAAUAAUUAAUACAUUAACAAAAUGAAAAAUAUUAGUUUACAAAAUACAAAUCCAAAUUUUUUGUGUGAGAGGGGAUUUAAAAGGGAGAGACUAAACAAAUGUGGUGAAAAACGACAUGUAUUACUACAACUGAAAAUACGAAGUCUAGGCAAUUGAAAACAUCGGGUUUUUUAUUUAAAUAUCCCCAAUUUGUCCUUAAAUACCAAAUUUAUACCCUAUUAUAUACAUAUACCUCACGAAGAUAGGGAAAGUAAAAAAUAACCUAAAAAAAUCAGGAAUCCGCACAUUUCUUCCUCUUAGUUCAGAAAGAUGUCGAGUACGAAGUCGGGUAAGUCGAGAAUUUAGUCGAGCAAGAAUUGGAGAUAAGUAAGUCAAUUAGGAAGUUGAGUAAGCAUAUUAAGUGAGUCGAGUAUUAAGUGGUUGAGUAUUAAGUAAAAGUCAAGUAAAUUUUUUGAACAAGUCGAGUAAAAUUUAUGUAAUUUUUAAAGAGGUCGAGUAUUAAGUCGGGUAAGUACAUUGGGUCGAGUAUUAAUAUUUUUAAAGAAGUGAAGUCUGAUAAGUUGAGCAUUUAGUCGAGUAAGAAGUUAAGGCAAUUGAAUAAGUCGAGUAUCUAGUUGAGUACAAAGUCGGGUAAGUUGAGCAUUCAGUCGAAUAAGAAGUAAAGACAAUUGAAUAAGUCGAGUGUCUAGUCGAGUACGAAGUCGAGUAUGAAAUCUGGUAAGUUGAGCAUUCAGUCGAGUGAGAAGUGAAGGCAAUUGAAUAAGUCGAGUAUCUAGUCGAGAACGAAGUCGGGUAUGAAGUCUGGUAAGUUGAGCAUUUAGUCGAGUGAGAAGUGAAGACAAUUGAAUAAGUCGAGUAUCUAGUCGAGUACAAAGUCGGGUAUGAAGUAUGGUAAGUUGAGCAUUUAGUCGAGUAAGAAGUGAAGGCAAUUGAAUAAGUCGAAUAUCUAGUCGAGUACGAAGUCAGGUAUAAAGUAUGGUAAGUUGAGCAUUCAGUUGAGUAAGAAGUGAAAGUAAUUGAAUAAGUCGAGUAUCUAGUCGAGUAAUCAAACCAAUUUUCUCCAUAGAGUCUUCAAAGUCAACCUAAAAAUGAAAUGCAGGUGGAAAUGAAAAUUCUAUAAACUAAAUAAAAUAAAAUGCAAUUCUUGAGCUUGAGCUUGCUUUUACAUCAUCAUAAUAGUGAAUUUUGAUACAUCUUUACUUUUCUGUUCUUGUUUAUUCACAACAAGAUAUCAAUAAAAGAAGAUGGAAAUGAAAUUCUAUAAAAUAAAGCAAGUGAAUUACCAGAAGAACAUUUUAGCAAUCCUUUGGCUAAAAUUUUCAUUUUCUUAGCAUACUCUCCUGCCUGUGAAUUGCUAGUGUGGUUCUAACAUUUCCUCGAAUCCCUGGUGAACAUAAUUAAACUCGUAUGAAAUAAAACAAAGUGGGCUAAUGUACUACUAAAAACAAUUACACAAUUACUUUAAAGAAUUAGUGUCUGUUUGGUAUGGCUUAUUUAAGAGGCAUAAGUGCUUAUUUAAUCGUAUAAGCACUUUUUAAAAAUUUUUAUGGUGUUUGGUUAUUUUUUUUGCUUAAAUAAGGUAAUUUACCUCUACUAGCAAAAGUCCAAAAUUUGAGCUUUUGGGAGUAGAGGUUAUAGAGCUUUUCUAAAAAUAUAUAAUAUAAAAAAUAUCACACAGUUUAAUGGUUCAAAAGUGAUUUUUUUAUUGACAACCAAACACCCAAUGACUUUUUUGACCAAAAGCUUUAUUAGUAUAAGCUCUGCUGCUAUAAGCUCUACUGUUAUAAGCUCUAUUUAAUAAGCUGUACCAAACAGAGCCUUAAUGUCACAUAAAUUAUAUAUAAAAAAAUACGAUUAUCAUUAUACAAGAUAAAAUUGAUAAUUUAGUUUUCAACAUUACUGCAAAUGUAUCACAGACAUUUUGUCUCUCAGCGAGUUACACAUAACAAAUUUUCGUACAUUAAAAAAUAAAUUGCAUUGGGAUUUUCUAUGAUAUUGUAUGAAAUUUUACAAAAGAGCACAUAUUUUUUUAAAGUAAAUAAAUAUAGAAAUUUCAGCAGACUACACUUGUAUUUUUUUAUUAUUUAAUUUUUAGAAAACAAGUUCAACAGAUUUGAUCACUAGGAAGUUUUACAUAUUUAUACCAAGAUUGAUUCUAUAUAGAAUCUUAAUUCAAAAUAUAAUUAUUUUUAUUAAUUUCAUUGCAAGCAACAAUGAAGUAAAUCAGAGGAGGAGAAAUUACCAGCGAGUGAUAUCUUACGGCGACCAAUUGAUGUGGGGAAUGUGGGAUAUCUUAUGCCAGUCUUCUCCUUUCCCCUCUCUUAACCCCAAAUUGUCAAUGUCUGCAGUGUCGUUGUUUGAAGUAACAACAAAGUAAAAUACAGAGAAAUUACCGGUAGGUGAUAGUAAUUGCAACCAUUCGAGAAUUUACCACUCGAUGUGGGGAAUGUGAGAUAUCCUAUGCCAGUCUUCUCCUUUCCCCUCUCUAUAACGGUUUUCAAGAAGAGGACAUCCCUCAAUACUCAAUUCCUGCAGCGUCGUCGUCCGAAGAAGGUAAUCCGGCAGCACCUUUAAUUUGGGGCAAUACCAAAUCGUCAAGGAAGAAAGAUGUGGUAUGUCUGUUGUCCUGCGAUCUUCUAGAAUGGGCAGUUCUUCCAAAUUUUCACAAGCAUGAAUAACCAGUACCUGCAGUUCCGUCGUUUGAAGAAGGUAAUCCGGCAGCGCCUUUAAUUUGUUGCAAAAACCAACUUUUAAGGAAGAAAGAUGGGGCAUGAUGGAGAUGUUUUCCUUCCUCGUAAUCUUGUAAUUCCACUCUUCCAAUUCUUCCAAUGCUACAAUUUCGAGUGAUUUCAAUUUGGGGAAGGCAAUAACUGAUGAUGACGAUGAAGAUGAAGAUGGGCCAUCCUCACUGCUUUCUUCUAUUCCCAAAAACUCAUUACCCACUCUUUUUACACUUUUCAAGUGGAUGAUUACGAGUUUUUCCAGAGGUAAUUUUCCCAAAGGAGGCAAAUGCUCACAGUUAAAACACGAGGAAAGAUAUAAAUUCCUUAGAUUGGUUAGUGAAGUCAACCAUUUGGGAAAAAUGUUGCCUCGGUAGGAUUCAAUCUCUAAUUUCUCUAAAUUCACAGGCGGUUGUAAGGCUUCAAGAAGUUGUUUAUCUUUCUCAUUCUUCCUCCUCCCUUCUUCGCCUUCCCCAUCUACGACUCUACCAAACUCAAGAUGCAAACGAAGGAGGUUUUUCUUAUUGUCUCAUCUACAUGCGAUACAUUACUCAGCCCUUCUACUCUACAUUCACGAAGGAGUUGAAGAUUUUUCAGAGAUUCAAGCCUACACGUGCUGCCACCAUCAACACCUCCACCCACAACAAACUUUUCUAAUGUUCGAAGGCUGGUCAAUCUGGAAAUCCCUAUUGGCAUGUACUUCAACGAAUAAGUUUCACCAUUCAGUAAACUCCUCAUGUUCUUUAACUUCCCAAUCCUCGCAGGCAAUUCUCUAAGACUUGGGCACCGCCUAAUAUCUAGCUUUUGUAAAUUAUAUAAUUCACACAAAGUCUCAGGUAGUCUCUCUAUACAUAGUCCAGACAAAUUAAGAUAUUUUAAAUGUAUCAAUUUUCCAACAUUUUCUGGAAUUUCUGUAAUCAAAUUUGGAUCUGAACGCAAACGAAUGGACAAUUGGCUUAUAACUAAUGCCCUUAAACACGCCAAUUUUCUAAAUAACUCCCGAAGGAUGCUGCGAUUAAGACUCCUAUUGGAAUAACUUCUAUCAUAAAUUAAGAGGCUACGCAAUCUAUCAAAUUCAAAAAAGGACAUAGUAAAUGAAGCGCCUCCUUCAAACUUUAACCCUAAGUGACGGACUUUCUCACCAAAAGAGUUUAUGACUGAUUCCUUGGUACCAUUAAUUUCUAGCCACAAACAUUCUUGCCUACUUACAAAUUGAGCAAAAUCAUAUACUAUGUCAUGCAUCUUGCAACUCAUAAUAUCAUCAUCGUCAUAAUAUUUUUCAAACUCUUGAAAGAAAGAGCGUGUUGCUAAGAUGUUGAAAUACUCUUCUCCAAUCAUCUCCAUUUCUUCGUCUUCAUCUGCAUUAAGGUAACUUUGAGCCAUCCAUAGAUUAAUCAAUUCCCUUUUAUUCAUAUUGUAGUCUUUUGGAAAGACAGCACAAUAUGAGAAGCACCGUUUUACCAUAGAAUUAGAGGGCAAAUCGUUAUAACUCAACAACAAAGGAGCCAAAAUACCUUGCCCAAUCUCUUCUACUUUCCACAUUUCACUAUCUAAAAUUCUUUGCCACUCUUUUACUAUACUUUUAGAGCGCAAGAGAUUCCCUAUUACCUUUGCAGCAAGAGGCAGGCCUUUGCACUUACAUGCAAUUUUUCGCCAAAUUGGUUCUAAUUUUUCACAAUCCUCAAAGGACCUACGUAGAAAUGCUAUCUACUUAAACAGUAACCAACAUUCCCCUUCACCCAACUCCUUGACAGGGAUAAUAUUUAUUGAUCCCAACUGUAGUGCAACUGACUUAUCACGUGUGGUAAUCCGAAUUUUACUUUCAUGGUGGCCAUUCUUUAGACAAGAAAAGAAUGGGUCCCAUUCUUUAUAAUCUCCAUCCCACAC
rnacentral:lncRNA from 1 species